rfam:Nosema ceranae BRL01 Nc000047, whole genome shotgun sequence.
GCCCUGUUAGCUCAGUGGUAGAGCAUUAGGCUUUUAACCUAAGGGCCGCGGGUUCGAGUCCCGCACAGGGUG